AACGUAGGAGCCAAGCGUUAUCCGAAUUCACUGGGCGUAAAGCGCGUGCAGGCGGUCUGGUAAGUUGGAUGUGAAAUCUCCUGGCUCAACUGGGAGAGGCCGUUCAAGACUGUCAGACUAGAGGGCGACAGAGGGAGGUGGAAUUCCGGGUGUAGUGGUGAAAUGCGUAGAUAUCCGGAGGAACACCAGAGGCGAAGGCGACCUCCUGGGUCGCACCUGACGCUGAGAUGCGAAAGCUAGGGGAGCGAACGGG
rnacentral:rRNA from 1 species